UGUUAUUUGAGUAAAGUUGUGGCUUACAUAAUGCUUCCACAUGCACCAUUCUACUUAUUAGACAACCCUGUGAAGUGGAUUCAAAUACUCUCAUUUUAUAGAUAAGAACAAUUUAGAUCUAGAAAUAGUAAGGAACUUAAAUCCAAUUUACACAACAAUGUUUUCUUGUUUCCCUGUUCUUGUUACUACCCUUCUGUACUUCAUCUUAAUAUAGAAUGGCCAGGAGAUAAGUGAAGCUAUAGAACUGACUGGGUGAUUCCAGAAAUUGGAGCUAUAGAGUCCCAUAGUAACUUAUGAAUUGUCCUACAGUGCAGUCCUACAGCUCCGUUAUGAUAAUCCUCCAGAUGAAGCUAUGUUCAAGACUGGACUAGAUCUUGUGCUAUAAAGCCACACUGGAACCAUCUCCAAUUCCCCACCUUGCUUCAGUUUUAUAUUCUUGCAGAUAGCCUCUUUGAAUCCAUCAGAGAGAAUACGAUCGACUAUGCAUGACAGAUGAAGAGAGAGGCAGAGGAAGAACACCUAAUCAGUCUACAUUCUUCUAACUAAUAACCUAAGUGAAUGCUAAAUUGAAUAAUGUCAUUUGAAAUAAAAAGUUUGUGAAUUAGCCUGAUUUAAUUAUUCACAUUGUAAAUAUAUACCAAAAUAUCACGUUGUACCCCACAAGUAUAUGGAAUUAUUAUUUGUCAAUUAAAAUUAAAAUUUCAAAAGAAGAACAUGAGAAAAAAAAAUUCAGGUAGGUUUCCACAGAACAGAGUGACAAAAUAAUGAGUCAAUAUAGUGUAAACAAAAAGGUACCAGUAUAUAAAGCUGGUCCAGAAGUCAUUUAUUGAAGCACAACAG
rnacentral:lncRNA from 1 species